rnacentral:rRNA from 1 species
AGAGUUUGAUCCUGGCUCAGGACGAACGCUGGCGGCACGCUUAACACAUGCAAGUCGAACGAGAGAAGAGGAGCUUGCUUUUCUGAUCUAGUGGCGGACGGGUGAGUAACACGUGAGCAAUCUGCCUUUCAGAGGGGGAUACCGAUUGGAAACGAUCGUUAAUACCGCAUAACAUAAUUGAACCGCAUGAUUUGAUUAUCAAAGAUUUAUCGCUGAAAGAUGAGCUCGCGUCUGAUUAGCUAGUUGGUAAGGUAACGGCUUACCAAGGCGACGAUCAGUAGCCGGACUGAGAGGUUGAUCGGCCACAUUGGGACUGAGACACGGCCCAGACUCCUACGGGAGGCAGCAGUGGGGAAUAUUGCACAAUGGAGGAAACUCUGAUGCAGCGAUGCCGCGUGAGGGAAGAAGGUUUUAGGAUUGUAAACCUCUGUCUUCAGGGACGAAAAAAGACGGUACCUGAGGAGGAAGCUCCGGCUAACUACGUGCCAGCAGCCGCGGUAAUACGUAGGGAGCGAGCGUUGUCCGGAAUUACUGGGUGUAAAGGGAGCGUAGGCGGGAUCGCAAGUCAGAUGUGAAAACUAUGGGCUUAACCCAUAAACUGCAUUUGAAACUGUGGUUCUUGAGUGAAGUAGAGGUAAGCGGAAUUCCUAGUGUAGCGGUGGAAUGCGUAGAUAUUAGGAGGAACAUCAGUGGCGAAGGCGGCUUACUGGGCUUUAACUGACGCUGAGGCUCGAAAGCGUGGGGAGCAAACAGGAUUAGAUACCCUGGUAGUCCACGCCGUAAACGAUGAUUACUAGGUGUGGGGGGACUGACCCCUUCCGUGCCGCAGCAAACGCAAUAAGUAAUCCACCUGGGGAGUACGACCGCAAGGUUGAAACUCAAAGGAAUUGACGGGGGCCCGCACAAGCAGUGGAGUAUGUGGAUUAAUUCGAAGCAACGCGAAGAACCUUACCAGGUCUUGACAUCGUAUGCAUAGCUCAGAGAUGAGUGAAAUCUCUUCGGAGACAUAUAGACAGGUGGUGCAUGGUUGUCGUCAGCUCGUGUCGUGAGAUGUUGGGUUAAGUCCCGCAACGAGCGCAACCCUUACUGUUAGUUGCUACGCAAGAGCACUCUAGCAGGACUGCCGUUGACAAAACGGAGGAAGGUGGGGAUGACGUCAAAUCAUCAUGCCCCUUAUGACCUGGGCCUCACACGUACUACAAUGGCUGUCAACAGAGGGAAGCAAAGCCGCGAGGUGGAGCGAACCCCUAAAAGCAGUCUUAGUUCGGAUUGUAGGCUGCAACCCGCCUACAUGAAGUCGGAAUUGCUAGUAAUCGCAGAUCAGCAUGCUGCGGUGAAUACGUUCCCGGGCCUUGUACACACCGCCCGUCACGCCAUGGGAGUCGGUAACACCCGAAGCCUGUAGUCUAACCGCAAGGAGGACGCAGUCGAAGGUGGGAUUGAUGACUGGGGUGAAGUCGUAACAAGGUA